rnacentral:rRNA from 1 species
UGGGGGAUAUUGCACAAUGGGGGGAACCCUGAUGCAGCAACGCCGCGUGAAGGAAGAAGGUCUUCGGAUUGUAAACUUUUGUCCUCAGGGAAGAAAGAUGACGGUACCUGAGGAGGAAGCUCCGGCUAACUACGUGCCAGCAGCCGCGGUAAUACGUAGGGAGCGAGCGUUGUCCGGAUUUACUGGGUGUAAAGGGUGCGUAGGCGGAUAAUCAAGUCAGUGGUGAAAACUAUGGGCUCAACCGAUAGAGUGCCAUUGAAACUGGAUAUCUUGAGUGGAGUAGAGGCAGGCGGAAUUCCCGGUGUAGCGGUGAAAUGCGUAGAGAUCGGGAGGAACACCAGUGGCGAAGGCGGCCUGCUGGGCUUUAACUGACGCUGAGGCACGAAAGUGUGGGUAGCAAACAGG